GUCCGUUGGUGGCGCGCGCGCCGCCCGUGUCCGCCGCCGGGCCUUCGCCGCAAGGCUCUACGCUCCUCCCGCCGUCACCCAGGUUCCCAGUUUGAAAACAGUUAGAAGAUACUUUGCCACCAUAUUGGAUUACUUUGUGUGCAACUCAGCAUGUCACUUUGCCCUGGAUUUUAUAAGGUGGCCAUAAUUUAACCCCCACUUUCAGUUUCUAUGUAUCAGUGAAGCAUUGGAGCUCUUUAGAGCUGCUGUUACUUGUGUGGAAACUGAUCCGUCUCCAAUCCCUUCUCCAAAGGACUUGACGUUACCAGCGAUGAGCUCCCAAAGCCAUCCAGAUGGGCUUUCUGGCAGAGACCAGCCAGUAGAGCUGUUGAAUCCACCUAGAGUGAACCACAUGCCCAGCUCUGG